GACCUCAAAUCAGGUAGGACUACCCGCUGAACUUAAGCAUAUCAAUAAGCGGAGGAAAAGAAACUAACAAGGAUUCCCCUAGUAACUGCGAGUGAAGCGGGAAAAGCUCAAAUUUGAAAUCUGAYGGUUCUUGACCGUCCGAGUUGUAAUCUAGAGAAGUGUUACCUGUGCUGGACCGUGUACAAGUCUCC
rnacentral:rRNA from 1 species